GCAUCCUCCUCGUCGCCACAUCUUGCAUUGUCAGCCACGAAAGUGAAGGGAUUGUGAUGAGAUUCGAGAGCGUGUCUAGAACUCGGGAGGGAAAUUGAAGUUUGUUGGUGUCUCACCUCGAUACGCGAUGGAGUGACACCUGGAAUGGGACUAUGAUGGACACUUUGGCUUCGGAGCUCGUGUCCAGAAGUGCUCCGGUUUGCAUGACGCGCGGUGCCGAGAGAGCCCCCGGGACGGCCAGCAGCCAUUUAUGCGCGCGUGGCAGGACAAUCCUCUCGAUGGUCCAAAUAGAGCGAUGGUGUUGCGCGCAGCGAGCCCGCUGAGACUGACGUGCGAACUCAUCGCAUUCCGGCUCGUGCAAGAGCGCGUCUUAAAACGCUUCAUUCUUCAUUCAUGAUCAUUCUGCCGCCGCUCCGAACUUGUUGAUGAGCGCGGGGACCUUGGAGAGCACAUGAGUGGACUUCGACGCUUUUCCAGAACAUCACACAGGAGGAGCACAAUGACUGACAGCCAGACAAGCUGAGGAGACCUGUCACACAUUGUCUUAUCAACACGUCAAAGGGCUAUCGCUUUCUCGCCUCCCGCUUUGCCACCAGCCUCCUCAAUCUUGUCCUCUUCUCAAUGGGCUGUUAACCCUCGAGAGACAGAAAUAAUAAUAAUAAAAAAAAGAAGACGCCUCUAAAUCACCGAGAAAGGCAUGUCUCUCAAUUCCCGUUGAAUGAGUUGCUGUCAGUGGAAGUGGAAAUAGAAUAGGGGACCCUUGAUCAUAAGUCUUUACAAGGAGAUCCAGCUCCAAGAAAAGGGGCUGAGAGAGGACCAGUCAUGCAUCUCUAUUUGGCAUUGACGCUGCAGGUGUUGUGGAAUGGUGUUUGCCAAGCCGCCAUGCAGCACUACCCUGCAGCGUGGGGCCACUAUGACGUGUGCAAAUCCCAGGUCUACUCAGAUGAAGGACUAACCUGGGACUACAUGGCCUGCCAGCCAGAGGCGGCAGACAUGACGAAGUACCUGAAGGUUAUGCUGGAUCCACCGAACAUCACCUGUGGAAAUCCACCUGAGACAUACUGUGCACUGGAAAACCCUUACAUGUGUAAUAAUGAAUGUGACGCCAGCACUGAGGAACUCGCCCAUCCGCCAGAACUCAUGUUUGAUAUCGAGGGCCGCAACCCCACAACAUUCUGGCAGUCGACAUCCUGGAAAAGGUAUCCAAAGGCCCUCCUGGUUAACAUCACGUUGUCUUGGAACAAGACCAUCGAGCUGACAGAUGAUAUCGUCCUCACCUUCGAGUCAGGCCGGCCAGAACAAAUGGUUCUGGAAAAGUCACUUGACUAUGGACGUACCUGGCAGCCAUAUCAGUUCUAUGCCACUGACUGCCUGGAUGCUUUUACCAUGGAGCCCAAGACAGUGCAGGAUCUGACCCAGCAUACUCUGCUGGACAUCAUCUGCACUGAGGACUACUCUCGAGGUUAUGUUUGGAAGUAUGACAAAACAGUUCGCUUUGAGAUCAAGGACCGCUUUGCACUGUUCGCUGGGCCUCGACUCCACAACAUGGCUUCACUUUAUGGCCAACUGGACACCACUAAGAACCUGAGAGACUUCUUUACCAUCACAGACCUGAGAAUUCGACUGCUCCGUCCUGCCACUGGUGCUACAAUGGUGGAUGAGAACAACCUGUCCAGAUACUUCUACGCCAUUUCUGACAUUAAAGUCCAGGGCAGGUGCAAGUGCAACCUUCACGCCAACAGCUGCGUGUUUGACAAAGAGAAGCUUAGCUGUGAGUGUGAACACAACACCACUGGGCCUGAUUGCGGCCGUUGUAAGAGGAACUACCAAGGCAGAGCGUGGAGUGCCGGCUCCUACCUGCCGAUCCCGAAAGGCACUGCAAAUAUAUGUAUCCCAAAUAACAUUGGUCCAGUUAUUCGGCCGAAUGUCUCGUCCCUAGGUGUCGCUAACCGAAAAGAAGUAGCUCCACAAGUUGCAUUGUCCACUGCCCCUUCAGUCCACGUUGCAAACCGCAAGCGAGGUAGGAAUUGCCCCCUAAUGAAAACUCAGACUUCUUAUUUAAUGAAUUAAUGCUUGUGUCUUACCCUGAAGUACAAACCCAAUGUUAGACCGAGCCUUACUUGAAGCUCAUUUUAAAUAAAGUGGGUAACACUACAACUACAGUAUGUUUAAGCAACAUGUGUCUAAGAAUCAAACACUUUUUAGUCCCCAAGUGUGCUUUAUUUACAACCUUAGUCCAUUUCUAGAAAAUAGAGCUUGUUUGUCCUGUGAUAAAAACGUGUGAAAGUAAGGGGUAAUACUUAAAUCUUAUGCCGUAAAUGGAUUAGCAGUGGAUUGCACGGGUGCGCCUUCAUUUCCAAGCCCUGUCAGAUUGUUAGUAAGUGGACAGGGAGAAUUGACCUCAAUACUCAUCCUUAAUAACUGCAAUCUGUCUGACAAAAAGCCCCAAUCUCUGCCCUUCCCUCUUGGUUUUCCUUCCGUGUGGUUGGCAGUGGUGAGGCUUAAGAGUUCACAUCUGUCUCAGCUGUGACACAUGGUGUCAGUGGUCAUUCAGCCUGCCAGUCUGGUUCCUGUAAGCAGAGCUGAAAUGAGGCUCCAAACCUGCCCAUCCUGCACCCCUCAGGGCAGGGAUGAUAGUAAGCAUAAAUGACUGCAGCAUGAGGUUUCAAAGUCCGAGUAACUGCUUGCUCCAUGCUUGUAAUUUAACAUGACAUUGAAUCGCAUAGAAGCCAAUGAAACCUUGCAGAAAUUAUUUCAAUUGCCUUAUGGCUUAAAGCUUUUAAUGAACAGACCAGAACUCAUUUACCAGUAUGGCUGUAUGUUUUCAUCUUAAAUUUGCUCUUAGCAAAUUGAGUUUGUAGCUGUGUUUAUAAAUACUUUCUUAAGUUGCAACUUUGUGCCAGCUAAACUAAUAAGUAUAGGUAAACACUAUUCUGUUUCCCAAAGAAGCACAUAUGAAUUCAGGGCCAGGUUGGAAGUGAUGCUAAAUCAUGGGGUUAAAUUACACAUUUAGCUAUCACUUUGUCAACAAAAGGAGGGGCAACUAAUAAGACAUAAUUUGAACUGUUAUUUGAAUAUUUUUUCCCCAUUUUUUUGUUGGUGACUGAGGCUCAUUUUAGGUUGAUAUAGUGCUUAUCUGUAAGCCAUUAAAGGAAACACUACACCUUUAAUGUUGGAAAAGUGAAUGGUUUCUUUAAUUUUGUAGGGGGGGGGGGGGGGUGGCAUUACAAGGUACUGGCAAAAAUGGUUUCAUCUCAUCCUCUUUCCUGUCACUUCAAAUCAGAACGACCAUGAAAUUGUGCUUAGACAGGUAAUGUCUAAAGUCAAAAGGUUCUGUUCCCUGGGUUAAAAUCCCUUAAUGGUUCGACCUUCUCUACAAUGUGUGGGGAUCUUGAUGUGACCGUAUCUCUGUGCCCUCAUCAACGUUCAUCGCCUCGCCUCGUCGUGUCUUGUGAUGUGUUGUGAUUAUACUAACGCUGUGCUUUUGCAAUGCCGUUUCUCAACCGUGGCUGUGCUCAUGCCAGAUUAAUCGUGAACCCCCUGCCCCCAUUACCUCACAAACAUCUCCUCCUUUGAACUGCAGUCAUUGUUUACCUGGCAUGCCAUGGCACUAAAUUCAUGCUAACCCGACGGCCGUAGCGCUUGAAGCAACAGACCAAAUUCCAACACUCUAUGCGACGUUUCUGUCUCCCUUCUCUGCACACAUCCUCCUUCUUUGCAAGACUGCGAAUGCUUCGGCCACUCCAACCGUUGCAGCUACAUCGAGCUGCUAAACACGGUCAUUUGCGUGAGCUGUAAGCACAACACUAGGGGGCAGCACUGCCAGCUAUGCAAGCUGGGCUUCUUUCGCAAUGCUUCGGCAGAACUGGAUGAUGAAAAUGUUUGCAUAGCUCGGGUGUGCGACAACGAGCUCAUGCGCUGCCAAAAUGGCGGUGUGUGCAUCAGCAACGUCCGCUGCAACUGCCC